GUGUCACGUUUCUUCUGAGAUUCCAGUCGGAAUCCGAGCCGAGAUAAUGGAUGCUCUAGGGUUUAUGAAGGUUUGAUGAACUCUGCUGCGUGUACCAGCGAUACACAAAGAUCCUCUUUAAAUGGCUUCCGGUAAGACGAUUAGGGUUCCGGCGUGCUGGACUGCCAUCUCUGUCAAAAAAGGUUCCUCAAAGAUAGUGGUUGUGGGUGGAAGACGAUGACACAAGCCUUGAAUCAAAUCCAUGUUUACUCGACCUCCAUAUUUUGAGGGUAAAAGUGAAGAUGACUUCUUUGACAGGACUUAAAGCAAGUUGAAGUUUGCAUCAGAUAAGGGGAUGCGUUUAGAUGGUUGGCUGGAAAUCCUUCCCACAAACUGGAUAUAAUGGCUCAGUGUGGCUAACAGUAAGUCCUGCUGACCCUUCAGGCUCCAAUGAAUUUUACAAGAAGACAUUCAUCGAGUUUCUUGAUUCUUUUGCAUACCUUCACUUCACUGUUGAGGACAUAUGGAUACUAAAGCAAUUGGCGAAAAUGCAUCUUUGUUUCUCAUAAAGCAAGGCGCUAAAGCUGUGAGUUAAUUUAUAUUUAUAGAAUCACAUGCUUCAUUUUUUUUAUUAAAAAAGGAGGUGAAAAUGCUACGGGUCAACCCAACCCAUAAUGGUUCUGACCUGUUUUCCUGUUCGACUUAUCUGCGCCUGACUUGGUUCAGAUUUCAUAGAGCCACAGACCUAUUUUUUUAUUAAAAAAGGUGGAAAUAUUAUGGGUCAACCUGACCCGUUUUGGUUCUGACCUACACGUGUCAUUAUUAAACAAUAGGGUGGUUGUUACGGGUCGGCCCAACCUGGAGGACCAUGGCAGUUUGUUGAGCUAAUGCUGUUCUUUGAUCCGCCACGUCAUAAUUGUGCUGACAUGAUCCGCGGGGGUUUGAAUCUUGGGGCCUUUUCUUUCAAAUUUUAACGUGUUAUAAUAGCAAAAUGAUAUGUACAGGAAUAUUCGUUGUUCUUUGUUCUCACCAGUUGUCUAGGGAUAUUCGGUAUAAAGUUUUUGUUGAAAUCGGAUUUGUGUUUGUGUAAAUUUUGGUUUUUUAUUUGCUGUUUGAACUGAUGUAUUAGCUUAUUUAGUUUGCUUAAAUGAUAUGUACAACAUUUAGGUUAUAAUAAAAAAAUAGUAUUCUUGCAAUUUGUUGUUGGUAUGAUGAUUAUUUGAAAUCUUAAUCAAGAUUCACACUUUUGAAGAUGAUUCCUUCCAGAUUGGUAAUCGAUUUUGAUGUUUAGUAGUUAGGGUUUCCGUGUUUGGUACUUAUGGUUUAGUUUGUGACUUUGGGCUGUGAUUUCAUGAUGCAUUUGAAUGCUGAAUUGCAUUUUGGUUAUGAUCUUUACUGAAAUAUUAUAUAUAUUCAAACUCUUAAAAUUUGAAUUCCCAUCUAGGGUUUCUCAUCCUCCACCAUCUUCCUCUUUGUUAGCGCCUCAAGCACAACCUAUCACCGCCGUUGAAGACAGAUGUGCCCCUCUAAACGGUGGUGGAGGUCACACUUCUUGAUUACAUAUAUGCCCUUCUAAACGGUGGUAGAGGUCACACUUCAAGAACGGUAACCAAUAGUGCAGCUCAAAGCUUUUGUCAUCAGUUGGUCCAAAUGUGCCGAGAAUCUGCCAUGACUCAACGUUGCUCUUGUAGACGAUUUGUAGCAGCUCCUACAACAAACGGUGGUGGUUGGUGUCCAGACGCAUUUCUGGUGACUUCGGUUUAGGGUUCCGACAGUCUCAUUUUCUCUGUUUUGCUCCAUACACAGAGGGACCCAUUGAUGGGUAUUUAAUAUCAAAUCGUACAUACAGAGUUGCAGCAACAAAAAGGCCACUCCUUUUUAUUGGAACCGGUGAACAUAUGGAUGAAUUUGAACUAAUUGAGAUUAUGUGCAGCGAUUUAAUUUGGGAUUUUGUUUGUUGGGUAGAUAUUUAGGUCUACAUAGUUAAAAAUACCCCAAAGGAGGUAAUUCUAAUUUGCGCAAUUUAAGCGUUUAUUAAUUAAAGUUCCCUAUACAUUCUUCUAUUUUGUGCUGAUCAUGAUGGGUGUUUUAACGGAGCCAUGUGCUUGAUUUGAUUAAUCGUGGGGGGAACUUCAUCGUGGUCCGAGUCUUAGCCGACUUACAAAGGUAUCUUUCCUGAUGACUACAGCUUUAUAAUUGUGUCAUUUGUGUUUAGCUGUGAACUUUUAAAGUGUUUUUUUUCUUGUGUUUAACAAUGUCAAGUUUACUGCUUAAAAGGUUUACACAGCCAAUUAGUGUGUUUUUUUAGCACAUGGACCUGCAAUAACCAAUGUAGUAAUUUGAGUCGUUUUUAUUGCAAUGAAGGAGUAUGUUAGCUAUCAGCAAUUGAAAGUAAAGGGUAGUGCUGCUU
rnacentral:lncRNA from 1 species